UACAGAGGGGGCAAGCGUUGUUCGGAAUUACUGGGCGUAAAGGGCGCGUAGGCGGCCUGCUAAGUCGAACGUGAAAUCCCCUGGGCUCAACCCAGGAACUGCGUCCGAUACUGGUUGGCUUGAAUCCGGGAGAGGGAUGUGGAAUUCCAGGUGUAGCGGUGAAAUGCGUAGAUAUCUGGAGGAAUACCGGUGGCGAAGGCGGCAUCCUGGACCGGCAUUGACGCUGAGGAGCGAAAGCCAGGGGAGCAAACGGG
rnacentral:rRNA from 1 species